UCCCUCCAUGGCACUACAGAGACUCCCGAGUGGUAGCACCUCCGAGGACAAGGCCAAAAGACAGGAAGCGGACCAGAGAGGAACGCGAAUUGCUGCAGAGGCAACACAUAGAAAGGAUGCAACAAGAAGAGAGGCUUCAAAGGUUCAGAGAGGAAGAGCAGAAGAGGCAAAAGGAGAUUCGAUUCCUCCAGCUUUUAGAGGAGAAGAAGAGAACAUUUGAAAUGCAGAAGGUCCACUUGGAAGAGCAGCUGUUACAGGUACCUCCUCCAGACAUGAGAGAAAUGUAGAGAGAAAUAGAUAAAAAUGUAUGUUAUUGUUAUUAUUACAUGCAGGGGAGUUAGUGAGCAGCUCUGGUCUGGACAUCCCUGCCUGCUGUCCUC